CAGUAGCCGCGGUAAUACGAAGGGGGCUAGCGUUGUUCGGAAUCACUGGGCGUAAAGGGUGCGUAGGCGGGAUCUUAAGUCAGGGGUGAAAUCCCGAGGCUCAACCUCGGAACUGCCUUUGAUACUGGGGUCCUUGAGUCCGGAAGAGGUGAGUGGAACUGCGAGUGUAGAGGUGAAAUUCGUAGAUAUUCGCAAGAACACCGGUGGCGAAGGCGGCUCACUGGUCCGGAACUGACGCUGAGGCACGACAGCGUGGGGAGCAAACAGGAUUAGAUACCCGGGUAGUCCCUGUCUCUUAUAC
rnacentral:rRNA from 1 species